CCUACGGGUGGCAGCAGUCGAGAAUCAUUCACAAUGGGGGAAACCCUGAUGGUGCGACGCCGCGUGGGGGAAUGAAGGUCUUCGGAUUGUAAACCCCUGUCAUGUGGGAGCAAAUUAAAAAGAUAGUACCACAAGAGGAAGAGACGGCUAACUCUGUGCCAGCAGCCGCGGUAAUACAGAGGUCUCAAGCGUUGUUCGGAAUCACUGGGCGUAAGGCGUGCGUAGGCUGUUUCGUAAGUCGUGUGUGAAAGGCGCGGGCUCAACCCGCGGACGGCACAUGAUACUGCGAGACUAGAGUAAUGGAGGGGUAACCGGAAUUCUCGGUGUAGCAGUGAAAUGCGUAGAUAUCGAGAGGAACACUCGUGGCGAAGGCGGGUUCCUGGACAUUAACUGACGCUGAGGCACGAAGGCCAGGGGAGCGAAAGGGAUUAGAUACCCCAGUAGUC
rnacentral:rRNA from 1 species